rnacentral:piRNA from 1 species
UGAAGCCCAUCAAAGUGGUUGGAAGC